CCUGCAGCAGCCGCUGAGAGAGGAGGACAUGGCCAGCUUAAGGAGGAAGAUUUUGGCCAUCGAACUGCACUUAUGUGUUAGUAUGACUUCUGCUUCGAACAGGUAGUUUAAUCGGAUUGGGUGAAAUGGUGUUGACUAUCCUGAGCCGAGAGAACAUGACUCUAAAGGUUCGUGGACAUGAUGGACAUGGACAUGACCCCACCGGUCCAGUGCACUGAAAAGAUGUAGCAGUCGCAGACCAAGACUAGAAGGUGGUGGAUCAGUCCUGAAGAUGGCUUUAAUGGACGGACUUGGUGGAGAAGAGGACAUGGUACCAGUCUGGAUUGAUCCAGAAGUCAGAUCUGAAGAAUUAGAAGAAUUUUUCUUUUCUCCCCAUCAUUACAUUUUUGUUUAUGUCCAAAAAAGGAAUGUUUUGUUGGACACGAGCAUAACUAGUGCCAUGUUUUUUCCUUUAAAUAAGUUUACAAGUAUAAAAACAUUAAAUGUUUUCAGUUAUAAUUGCAUAAAUAUUUCAUUUCAUUACUUUAUAUACUGUUUAAACAGAAUGUGUGGAAAAAAUAAAACCGAUUUCAUACAGCCUC